UACGUAGGGGGGCAAGCGUUGUCCGGAUUUAUUGGGCGUAAAGAGCGUGUAGGCGGCCAUGUAGGUCCGUUGUGAAAACUCGAGGCUCAACCUCGAGACGCCGGUGGAAACUGCAAAGCUAGAGUCCGGAAGAGGAGAGUGGAAUUCCUGGUGUAGCGGUGAAAUGCGCAGAUAUCAGGAAGAACACCCGUGGCGAAGGCGGCUCUCUGGGACGGUACUGACGCUGAGACGCGAAAGCGUGGGGAGCGAACAGG
rnacentral:rRNA from 1 species